rnacentral:misc_RNA from 1 species
CAUACCUAAAGAUACUCAAGUUUUUGUGAACGCAUGGGCAAUAGGAAGAGACCCAGAUACAUGGAAAGAUCCCAUGUCUUUUAAGCCGGAGAGAUUUCUAGGCUCCAAUAUUGACUAUUGGGGGCAAAACUUUGAGUUUAUCCCUUUCGGAUCUGGAAGACGAAUUUGCGCUGGCAUCCCAAUGGCUCGCCUUAUACUUCACCUUGUUCUAGCCUCCCUGCUUCACUGUUUUGACUGGGAGCUUAGCAGCAAUUCUACUCCAAAGGCCAUAGACAUGAAGGAAAAACUGGGAAUAACAGUCCGAAAGC